CUAGCAUAUCAAUAAGCGGAGGAAAAGAAACCAACCGGGAUUGCCCUAGUAACGGCGAGUGAAGCGGCAAGAGCUCAAAUUUGAAAGCUGGCUCCUUCGGGGUCCGCAUUGUAAUUUGCAGAGGAUGCUUCGGGAGCGGUCCCCAUCUAAGUGCCCUGGAACGGGCCGUCAUAGAGGGUGAGAAUCCCGUAUGGGAUGGGGUGCCCGCGCCCGUGUGAAGCUCCUUCGACGAGUCGAGUUGUUUGGGAAUGCAGCUCUAAUUGGGUGGUAAAUUUCAUCUAAAGCUAAAUAUUGGCCGGAGACCGAUAGCGCACAAGUAGAGUGAUCGAAAGAUGAAAAGCACUUUGAAAAGAGAGUUAAACAGCACGUGAAAUUGUUGAAAGGGAAGCGCUUGCGAUCAGACUCGCUCGCGGGGUUCAGCCGGCCUUCGGGCCGGUGUACUUCCCCGCGGGCGGGCCAGCGUCGGUUUGGGCGGCCGGUCAAAGGCCCCUGGAAUGUAACGCCUCUCGGGGCGUCUUAUAGCCAGGGGUGCCAUGCGGCCUGCCCGGACCGAGGAACGCGCUUCGGCUCGGACGCUGGCAUAAUGGUCGUAAGCGACCCGUCUUGAAACACGGACCAAGGAGUCUAACAUCUACGCGAGUGUUCGGGUGUCAAACCCGUGCGCGCAGUGAAAGCGAACGGAGGUGGGAACCCCUCGGGGUGCACCAUCGACCGAUCCUGAUGUCUUCGGAUGGAUUUGAGUAAGAGCGUAGCUGUUGGGACCCGAAAGAUGGUGAACUAUGCCUGAAUAGGGCGAAGCCAGAGGAAACUCUGGUGGAGGCUCGCAGCGGUUCUGACGUGCAAAUCGAUCGUCAAAUUUGGGUAUAGGGGCGAAAGACUAAUCGAACCAUCUAGUAGCUGGUUCCUGCCGAA
rnacentral:rRNA from 1 species